GUAGGGAAUAUUGGGCAAUGGGUGCAAGCCUGACCCAGCCAUCCCGCGUGCCGGAUGAAGGCCCUCUGGGUCGUAAACGGCUUUUGACGGUGAAGAACCGAAAGGGUGCGCCCUUUUUUGACGGUAGCCGUUGAAUAAGCACCGGCUAACUCCGUGCCAGCAGCCGCGGUAAUACGGAGGGUGCGAGCGUUGUCCGGAUUUAUUGGGUUUAAAGGGUGCGUAGGCUGGAGGGACAGUCAGCGGUGAAAAGCAGUUGCUCAACAAUUGUCUUGCCGCAGAUACUACCUUUCUUGGAUUGGGAGGAGGUUACCGGAACGGAUGGUGUAGCGGUGAAAUGCAUAGAUAUCAUCCAGAACACCAAUUGCGAAGGCAGGUAACUGUACCUAUAUCGACGCUGAUGCACGAAAGCAUGGGUAGCGAACAGGAUUAGAAACCCGAGUAGUCC
rnacentral:rRNA from 1 species